UACGUAGGGUCCGAGCGUUGUCCGGAAUUAUUGGGCGUAAAGGGCUCGUAGGCGGUUCGUCACGUCGGGAGUGAAAACUCGGAGCUUAACUCCGAGCCUGCUUCCGAUACGGGCAGACUAGAGGUAUGCAGGGGAGAACGGAAUUCCUGGUGUAGCGGUGAAAUGCGCAGAUAUCAGGAGGAACACCGGUGGCGAAGGCGGUUCUCUGGGCAUGUCCUGACGCUGAGGAGCGAAAGUGUGGGGAGCGAACAGG
rnacentral:rRNA from 1 species